rnacentral:lncRNA from 1 species
CUCAGAAGGGGUUGCAAAAGCUACCAAGGAUAACAUGGCUGCAUUCAUACCAUUUGGAAUGGGACCUAGAACUUGUGUAGGUCUCAACUUUGCCACCACUGAAACUAAGAUUGCUCUGUCAAUGAUUCUGCAACGCUACGCCUUCACUCUUUCCCCGGGAUAUGUCCACUUACCUCUUCAUUUUAUUACACUUCGCCCGCAGAAUGGAGUUCAAGUAACUCUACACUCCUUGUGAAACGUUGAAGACUAGCAGAGUGGCUCUCUGUGUCUAGGACUCAUGGAUUGGCUAAAGACAUGGUGUCCUAUAAUAAUGUAAGUUUGUUCAAGCCUUCAAGGUGUGCAUGGUAUCUAGGAAAUUAAUUAAGCAUGGGAUUGAUUCAUGAUGCGCUAGAUUCAUGGUUCUCUGGUAACGAACAAGGAUGAAUAAUGCUUGAAUGUAUAUCCAGCCUAGUACAAGCUACAGAAUUUACAGCAAGCUGUAAGUUUGGUGCAUAUAGAAGUUAGGAGGUCGAAAAAUAAUCAUGAAUUUAGUGAUUAUAAACAUGAAGUCAUGAAGAAAGCCUAAUAUUUGCCCACAAGGUCUCCUUUGUCGCCACCUAACAUUUACCAUAUAUCAGACAGAAAGGAAAGCUAAUUAAACAAAGAAAAGUAAGUUUUUAAUGGAAUUAGGAAGGAUACAUACAAAGACACCUUUGUUUACCCUCUACUUUGUGUAAGAACAUGUCACUCUAAACUAUCAUGUCCUUAACCUUGGUACGCCUUUGAAGAAUUGAAGACAUAUCAAUCUUGAUUACUGUAAUCCAUUUUUCUUGCUAAUAUAUACAUCUGUAAAUUAAGAAAAACAAAACAAAAAACCUUCAAGCCCACCUGGAUUGAUAAAAAUAAUCUCUAGUUCUCUACAUUCUAGAAGUAUAUAUAUAGCGAGUCAUUGAUCAAAUCAAAUGAAUUGUACAGUAGUAUAUAUAGCAGAUGCAGGUUGCGUACAAUAAAUAUAAUACAUAUUUUUACAACAUGCAUGCACAAAAUCAUAUCAAAUUAAUUAAUUUACAAGAUGCACGAAAUCAUAUCAAAUCAAUCAGAGAAUUCAGACUUGAUAUGGGGAAUGAGAUCUUGAUUUUGGGACGAGACAAUCUUGCUAAUUAACUGUGACAUUUUUGCACCAAGUUUGGCAACAGCGAGCUGGACAUAUAUAUAAGCCGUCGGUGAUCGCUUAUAAAUGUGAAUAAUAAAAAAAAACUACUCAUAUGUUCUAGAAGUGUAUAUAUACACUUCUGUUUCAUAGUUUCCUUUUCUAUUACUCAAACCUACUCAUCAUAAUGUGAUGAUUGUGAUCUGCAUAUACAGUACCCUCCUCUACAAAAAUGUGGAGCAAAGGCCACACACCUUUGCAUUUUUCAUUAAAUGUGGCAAAUGAGAGUAUCAGUACUGGUAUCGGUGGGGUAUGAGGAAGAAUGCUACACAUGGUGAUUUGCAACACCGACCACACAUCUUGAGUGGCAUCUGCUCCAUCUUGUUGCAGUAUCUACUCCUCCCUAUGUAUAUAUUGGCAUCUUCUUCGAUCUCUUUUCCAGUUUUCCUCGACUCCUCCUACUUACAGAAACCAUCAUUCCUAUGAAUAUCAAUCCUUCAAAUUGUUGAGCUUCAGCGCCUUGUUUUAGUGGUCUACAAAUUUCUUCAAAAUCCAAGACUGAGUGUGUUGGGGCUAAGAGCUAGAGCUAAACCAUUCUGAAAAUAUGAGUAUUACUGGACUCCCAGCAGUAUUCAUUGUUUCAAGUUUUGUGUUUCUGUUCCUUCUGAUCAUCAAGAUCUUUCACUCACAAUGGUGGACUCCAACUCGCCUACAGAAACGGAUGGGUCUCCAGGGAAUCAAAGGCCCUUCAUACAGACUUGUCCAUGGAAACGCUAAAGAAAUCUUGAACAUGAAGAAGGAAGCAAUGAGCAGAUCCAAAGGUUUAUCACAUGACAUAUUUCCUGCACUUCAACCUCAGUAUCACUCUUGGUUCAAGACAUAUGGUAAGAAAUUGUUAACUAGAAUGGUCUCGUCAAGUCAAAUAUGGCUUUCACAUCUUUAGUGCAUAACUGCGUAUCAAUCUCCAAUUAACUUGAAUGCUGUUUUUUUUUUUUUUACUUGUGACAGGGAAGAUUUUUCUUCAGUGGGUAGGUACUGAAGCUCAAUUGGUAGUUAUGGAACCUGAGUUAUGCAAAGAGAUACUGAUUAACAAAGAUAAAGUUUAUCUGCAAGUGAAAAUGCAUGGAUUUGGGAAGAAGCUACUUGGAAAUGGCAUCGGGAAUUCUGAAGGCGAACGGUGGGUAAAACUUCGAAAGCUGGCCAACCAUGCCUUACAUGGAGAGACUUUAAAAGUAAGCUUUAGUACAUAUGGCAUUCAUGAAAAUAGACCUGUAAAUGGACCGGAUUCGUGGUUUCUAAACGGGUUGGAUCGAAAAUUAGACUCAUUUAUCUGUUAAGGACCCGGAUCCGUUAACCUGUUUAUUAAACGGAUCGGAUACAAAUCGAGGUUGAUCCAAUCCAUUAAGGACCCGGCCGAUCCGUUUUAAAAUAAUUAAAUAAUAUUUUUAUAAAUAUAAUAUUAUUGAUAAAUAUUAAAUAAUAUAAUAAUUAUUUAAAUAACCUAAACGUCUAAAUUGCGUCUAAAGUAUGAUCAUUUGAUGAAAUUAAACGUUACUGAUGCGCAUGUUCUUUUUAUGCUCUUUGCUAAAUACAUUGGAGGUCUAGUAUUUUGAAUAUAUUAGUUUAUUGUUAAGGAGUAUUUUGACAUGUAAUUCAAUUUUUAAUGUAAGCCUUUAUUUUGUUAUAAUAUUUCAUUAGUGUUUUACGAAAAUUUAUGAUAAAAUUAAGAAAUUAUUAUUUUUAAUUUGAAAAUAUUUAUUAUUAUAAAUGGAUCGGAUUAACGGAUCGGGUAUCCGUUAACCCGCCGGAUCCGGAUUUGGAUCUAGCUAUCAAAGAUCUGGAGGGUAACAGGUCGGAUCUAGAUCCAAAAUUUCUAUUACGGAUCCGGAUCUGGAUUUAGAUCGAUCCGCUUCAAAUCCAGUCCAUUUAUAGGUCUACAUGGAACUCAACUUUCACUUACUUUGUCUUUGUUAUUAGUAGUUACCGCAUCAGAAGUUGUUGAAGUCGUAGCAUGAAUUGUCAAGUGACAAAAUGAACUUGGGUCUUUACCCAGAAGGACAAAAUUAGCUCCACCAAUUUUCCUGUUUCUAUUCCCUAUUACUACAACGUCCAUGGCCAUGUUCAUAAAAGGACUUGAAAGAAAUUUAAUUUCAGCGGUGGGACUUUAUCCUUUUUUUUUUUUUUUNNNNNNNNNNNNNNNNNNNNAGAAAUGAUAGCUAGUGCUGAGAAGAUGCUGCAGAGGUGGCAAAAUAGUGAGGGCAAAGAAAUCGAGCUGUAUCAAGAAUUUAGGUUGUUUACUGCAGAAGUGAUUUCCAGAACAGCAUUUGGCAGCACCUACUUAGAAGGGAAGAACAUUUUUGACAGGUUGACGAAGAUUUCGGUGUUAUUAUUCAAAAAUACUUAUAAGAUCAGGCUUCCUGUUAUACGGUAAGUUUCUUUUACUGCACAAUGUUCAUUGCAUUUGAAGAAAUGAUCCCAAAGACUUAAUUUCCAGUAGUUGCUGUUUGUAUCAUUAUUUGAUCAACAUAUGUAUGAUAUAUAUGUAACUACUAUUAUAUAUGUGAUAUUUUGUUUGACAUUGUUACCUUGCAUGUCCCAUUUACUAAGUACAUAGCAGAGAACAAUUCACUGCAACAUAUAUUGUAGGAGGAUUGUGUAUGUUCCCAUUUCUCAUGUUUAUUUCAUUCAUGUUUUCAUUCCGUAUUGCAGAGAGCUUUUCAAAACUAGUGAUGAAGUUGAAGCAGAGAAGCUUGAGAAGGAAAUACGCAAAACGAUACUAGAGAUUGUGAAGAAAAGGGAAAACAAGGCAGUGGCACAGCAGGAUGAACUCAACUUUGGGGGGGAUUUUCUUGGAUUACUUUUGAAGGAUCAUCAUGUUGACAGUAAUGACAGAUACAGGUUCACAAUAGAUGAUAUAAUUGAUCAGUGCAAGGCAUUGUACUUUGCUGGACAAGAAACCACUAAUGGUUCGCUGUCUUGGACCGUCUUUCUUCUGGCACUUCAUCAGGAUUGGCAAGAGGAAGCAAGAAAAGAAGUCCUACAAUUAUUCGGAAAACAGAAUCCAAAUAUCGACGGCAUUUCCAGACUAAAAACUGUAAGAAUGUCAUCAACAGUUAAUACUGCUGAUUGUGUAAGCGGUAGAAACUGUCAUCAGUUAAGUAUGAAAUUCUAAUUUGUGUUUAGUCUCAUUUUGUGUCUGUCUUUUUGAUGCAGAUGAAUAUGAUCAUCAAUGAGUCUCUAAGGUUGUAUCCUCCUGUUACUCAACUUAUAAAAAGAACUGAAAGGGAAGUUAGGCUGGGGAAGUUGAUUGUUCCUGCUGACAUUGAUUUGGUCAUUCCAAUUGUAGCACUUCACCAUGACACUCAAAUAUGGGGACAAGACGCCGGACUUUUCAAACCGGACCGAUUCUCAGAAGGGGUUGCAAAAGCUACUAAGAAUAACAUGGCUGCAUUCAUACCAUUUGGAAUAGGACCUAGAAUUUGUGCGGGAUUCAACUUUGCCACCACUGAAAUUAAGAUAGCUCUGUCAAUGAUUCUGCGACGCUACACCUUCACUCUUUCCCCGGGAUAUGUCCACUCACCUCUUCAUUUUCUUACACUUCGCCCGCAGAAUGGACUUCAAGUAAUUCUACACCCCUUGUGAAAUUGCUCUCUUGUAAUGAAUAAUGGUUCAAUAUUUAUAUAAAUAGGAAGCCUAGAAUAAGGUCUGUGAACCUCACCCGAG